rnacentral:rRNA from 1 species
GAAAGUAAUGAAGGGCGUACGGUGGAUGCCUAGGCUCUUACAGGCGAUGAAGGACGUGAUAAGCUGCGAAAAGCCGCGGUGAGGCGCAAAUGGCCCUUGACCCGCGGAUCUCCGAAUGGGACAACCCAAUAUCUUGAAGAGAUAUUAUCCCGCCGGUGCGGGAGGCGAACGCGGGGAACUGAAACAUCUUAGUACCCGCAGGAAAAGAAAAUAAAGAAUGAUUCCCCCAGUAGUGGCGAGCGACCGGGGAAGAGCCCAAACCGACGUUGUCUCGGCAUCGUCGGGGUUGUAGGACCGCGCCAUCGCAAGAAAGGCCGUGAGUGGAAGCGACUGGAAAGCCGCGCCAUAGAGGGUGACAGCCCCUUACACGAAGCAGCCUGAAGCGUAGCGGACUCCUGAGUAGCGCGGGACACGAGUAAUCCUGUGUGAAUCCGCCGGGCCCAUCCGGCAAGGCUAAAUACUCGUAAGAGACCGAUAGUGAACCAGUACCGUGAGGGAAAGGUGAAAAGGACCCCUUGCAGGGGAGUGAAAGAGUUCCUGAAACCGUACGCCUACAAGCGGUCGGAGCAUCUUGAAUGAUGUGACGGCGUGCCUUUUGCAUAAUGAACCUACGAGUUGCCGUCACCAGCGAGGUUAAGUGCGACGACGCACCGAGCCGCAGCGGAAGCGAGUCUUAAAAGGGCGCGAUAGUUGGUGGAGGCAGACGCGAAACCGAGUGAUCUACACUUGUCCAGGAUGAAGUCCCGGUAACACGGGAUGGAGGUCCGCACCAAUAAGCGUUGAAAAGCUUCUGGAUGAGGUGAGUGUAGGAGUGAAAGGCCAAUCAAACUCGGAGAUAGCUCGUACUCCCCGAAAGGCAUUUAGGUGCCGCCUGUGGCGUUCCCGACGUGAGGUAGAGCGACUGAUAGGAUGCGAGGGCUUCACCGCCUAUCAAGUCCUGACAAACUCCGAAUGCACGUCGGCCAAGCCAUGGAGUAAGGGCAUGGGUGCUAAGGUCCGUGCCCGAGAGGAGAAGAAUCCAGACCACCGGCUAAGGUCCCGAAAUACUGGUUAAGUUAGACUAACGCAGUCCGGCCCCCAAGACAGCUAGGAUGUUGGCUUGGAAGCAGCCAUUCAUUCAAAGAGUGCGUAACAGCUCACUAGUCGAGGAGCUGGGCGUGGAUAAUAAUCGGGUAUAAAACCAGUUACCGAAGCCGUGGGAUGCUCAAGCAUCGGUAGGGGAGCAUUGCAUGCGGCUUGGAAGGCGGGGCGCGAGCCCCUCUGGAGCGCAUGGAAACGCAAAUGUAGGUAUAAGUAACGACAAGGGGGGUGGGAUGCCCCCCCGCCGAAAGACCAAGGUUUCCUGAACAACGCUAAUCGGUUCAGGGUCAGUCGGGUCCUAAGCAUAAGCCGUAUGGCGAGGGCGAUGGAUGAAACGGUUAAUAUUCCGUUACUGUCUUGGUGUGUGACGCGGCGACGGAGUAGUGACACGGCCGCCUCCUGACGGAAAAGGGGGUUGAAGCGCAAAGGUGUCGAGGAAGGCAGGCAAAUCCACCUUCCGAGCCGAAGCGCGAUAGUACGCUGCGCCCUUUGGGGCAAGGCGAUAGUGCCGGUAAUCAGACUUCCAAGAAAACCCGCUAAACUUCAGCACCAAGUCACCCGUACUCCAAACGGACACACGUGGUCGGGUAGAAUAUACUAAGGCGCUUGGGAGAUUCACGGUUAAGGAACUAGGCAAAUUGACCCCGUACCUUCGGAAUAAGGGGUCCUCGCUUUUGCGAGGCGCAGAGAAUAGGUCCAGGCAACUGUUUAACAAAAACACAGGGCUGUGCCAAUUUGAAAGAAGAAGUAUACAGCCUGACACCUGCCCGGUGCCGGAAGGUUAAGAGGAGAGCUCAUCAGCGAUGAGAAGGCUUGAAUUGAAGCCCCGGUAAACGGCGGCCGUAACUAUAACGGUCCUAAGGUAGCGAAAUUCCUUGUCGG